UACGAGGGGUGCAAGCGUUGCUCGGAAUUAUUGGGCGUAAAGGGUAGGUAGGUGGUCUCAUUUGUCUGGGGUGAAAGCCUUGAGCUUAACUCAAGAAGUGCCCCGGAAACGGUGAGACUAGAGUCCUGGAGAGGGUCGUGGAAUUCCCGGUGUAGCGGUGAAAUUCGUAGAUAUUGGGAAGAACACCAGUGGCGAAGGCGGCUCACUGGCCCGUAACCGACGCUGAGGUGCGAAAGCGUGGGGAGCAAACAGG
rnacentral:rRNA from 1 species